GACGAACGCUGGCGGCGUGCUUAACACAUGCAAGUCGAACGGAAAGGCCCUGCUCUUGUGGGGUGCACGAGUGGCGAACGGGUGAGUAACACGUGAGUAACCUGUCCUUGAAUUUGGGAUAACUUCAGGAAACUGGGGCUCUUACCGGAUAGGAGCUCCUGCUGCAUGGGGGGGGAUGGAAAGAUUCGGCGGUUGGGGAUGGAAUGGCGGCUUAUCAGCUUGAUGGUGUGGUAGUGGCUUACCAAGGCUUUGACGGGUAGCCGGCCUGGGAGGGUGACCGGCGACAUUGGGACUGAGGGACGGCCCAGACUCGUACGGGACGCAGCAGGGGGGAAUAUUGCAGAAUGGGCGGAAGCCAGAUGCAGCAGCGCCGCGUGCGGGAUGACGGCCUACGAGUGGUAAACAGAUUUGGCCGGUGACGAAGCGUGAGUGACGGUAAUGGGUAAGGAAGCACCGGCUAACUACGUG
rnacentral:rRNA from 1 species